GGCGCACGGGUGAGUAAUUUAUAGAUAACGUACCUCUUAGUCUGGGAUAGCCAUUGGAAACGAUGAUUAAUACUAGAUACUCCUUCUCCUUCUAAUUGGAGUCGGGAAAGUUUUUUCGCUAAGAGAUCGGUCUAUAUCCCAUCAGUUAGUUGGUAGGGUAAUGGCCUACCAAGACAAUGACGGGUAGCGGGCUUGAGAGGAUGAUCCGCCACACUGGUACUGAGACACGGACCAG
rnacentral:rRNA from 1 species